rnacentral:rRNA from 1 species
GACGAACGCUGGCGGCGUGCUUAACACAUGCAAGUCGAACGAGGAAGUCUAGCUUGCUAGGUGGAGUAGUGGUGAACGGGUGAGUAAUACGCUAGUAAUCUACCUUUCACCCCGGGAUAAGUCUUGAUAACUGGUUCUAAUACCGGAUACGACCAAUAUCCGCUUGGGGUGUGGGUGGAAUGCGUUAUUUAGUGGUUAUGGAUGGGCCCGCGUCGGAUUAGCUUGUUGGUAUGGUAAAAGCCUACCAAGGCGACGACGGGUAGCUGGUCUGAGAGGAGGAUCAGCCACACUGGGACUGAGACACGGCCCAGACUCCUACGGGAGGCAGGAGUGGGGAAGAUUGGACAAUGGGCGAAAGCCUGAUCCAGCAAUGCCGCGUGAGUGAUGAAGGCCUUAGGGUUGUAAAGCUCUUUUACCCGGGAUGAUAAUGACAGUACCGGGAGAAUAAGCUCCGGCUAACUCCGUG